rnacentral:rRNA from 1 species
GAUGAACGCUAGCUACAGGCUUAACACAUGCAAGUCGAGGGGUAGCAGGGUAGCAAUACCGCUGACGACCGGCGCACGGGUGAGUAACACGUAUCCAACCUUCCCAUAACUCGGGGAUAGCCUUUCGAAAGAAAGAUUAAUACCCGAUAGUACUUUUUCAAGGCAUCUUGAGAAAGUUAAAGAUUUAUUGGUUAUGGAUGGGGAUGCGUUCCAUUAGAUAGUUGGUGAGGUAACGGCUCACCAAGUCUUCGAUGGAUAGGGGUUCUGAGAGGAAGGUCCCCCACAUUGGUACUGAGACACGGACCAAACUCCUACGGGAGGCAGCAGUGAGGAAUAUUGGUCAAUGGGCGAGAGCUUGAACCAGCCAAGUAGCGUGAAGGAUGAAGGUCCUAUGGAUUGUAAACUUCUUUUAUAGUAGAAUAAAGUGAUCCACGUGUGGAUUUUUGUAUGUAUACUAUGAAUAAGGAUCGGCUAACUCCGUGCCAGCAGCCGCGGUAACAC